rnacentral:rRNA from 1 species
AGCAGCCGCGGUAAUUCCAGCUCCAAUAGCGUAUAUUAAAGUUGUUGCAGUUAAAAGCUCGUAGUUGAAUUUCGGGACUAAUAUGUCGGUCGUACUUUGUACGUACUAGCAUUAUUGGUUUCUCCCUUCUGACGAACCACGAUGUCAUUAAUUUGGUGUCGUGGGAAAUCAGGACUGUUACUUUGAAAAAUUAGAGUGUUUAAAGCAAGCUAACGCUUGAAUACAUUAGCAUGGAAUAAUGAAAUAGGACGUUCGAUCCUAUUUUGUUGGUUUCUAGGAUUGACGUAAUGAUUAAUAGGGAUAGUUGGGGCAUUAGUAUUCAAUUGUCAGAGGUGAAAUUCUUGGAUUUAUUGAAGACUAACUACUGCGAAAGCAUUUGCCAAGGAUGUUUUCAUUAAUCAAGAACGAAAGUUAGGGAUCGAAGACGAUCAGAUACCGUCGUAGUCUUAACCAUAAACUAUGCGACUAGGGAUCGGAUGAUGUUAAUUUAUAAUG